rnacentral:misc_RNA from 1 species
AAAUGCGACGCCAACUGAAAAGAAUGUUCUUCGUUCCCUCUUCAUAGAGCUUAGGAAACUCGAGACAUAGGCGGGCAGAAACAUCCUGAUCAAAGACACCGAGAGCAAUCACAGGAAGCGAUGUGAAGAACACAUUAUAUAAUGACAUAUACCAGUCAUUAUAAGCAGGUCGGCCAGAGAAAGAAGCAAAGCCCUCGAACCAGAAAAGGGUCAACCCGAAGGCGAUGUUCUUGUAAAAGAAGUAGCAUAGCAUCAUCGA